ACUCUCCCCGUCGCCUUGGGUGCCUGUCGAUACGCGAAAGUGUCUGGACAGGUUAAAAGGGAAGCAGGUGCAACACCUGUCGAGUUUUCUCCUCGAUGCGUGCAUGCCUGCGCUGCCCCCGCAACGGUAGGUAGUGUGAAAACACUACGAGCCCGAUACCUGCCCUGGCAACAGCACCGAU
rnacentral:ncRNA from 2 species